rnacentral:rRNA from 1 species
GCUUACGGCCAUACCACCCUGAGAACGCCCGAUCUCGUCUGAUCUCGGAAGCUAAGCAGCGUCGGGCCUGAUUAGUACUCGGAUGGGAGACCGCCUGGGAAUACCAGGUGCUGUAAACU